rnacentral:lncRNA from 1 species
AUCUUGUGAGUCUUCGAACAGCGGGAGGUGGCAAACGUUGGCAGAACUGGGGCUGUUUCCUCCUUCGCACUUKGUUUUAAAACAAGUUGGGGCCUUGCGACUUCCCAAGAAAAUCCCGGCAAAUUUGCUACGAGUUGCUUGGGCCGCGACUUUUGAGAAGUAUUUUAACCCCAGCCGCUGAAGUCGUGGGGGAGUUCSUUUUCUCCGCGGGGCCGCGGUGCUCUCAGCCCGGGUGAGGCUGGCGCGCGGGUGGGAGGCCCGGGACGCGCUCUGGCGAUCACUGGGGCAGAGCAAGUUGCUCCAGGGGUGACUGCACUGGCCUGGGCGCGGGAGAGGGGGGCACUUGUCCUGCAAAGCUGCGUUUCAAUCCAGUCAUCUUUCCUCUUGUCUCCUGGUCUGACCCCGCAGUCCGCCACUGCCCGCGCUGGAGCACCGCGCCCUUGGCCACGGGAGCCCAAGUAAAAGGCUAGAUUCGAGGCAGCGGGCGGAGCCGGGACCAACGGGGCGGUGACUGAGCGGCGGGCCCCGCCCGGCCCCGCCCGCCGCACUCGGGCGCCUCUCUCAAGCCCGGCGGGACCAAGGGACUGACCGACCGACGCGGGCCACCCCGCUCUCCUCGCCGCCAAAGGCGGCGGGCGCGGGGCGGCGCGGAGAGGCCUGAUCCCUGCAGCACUGGCGCGCAGCGUUGCAGAGCRGAGCAAGCCAGACGCACCAGGACUCCUGCAGGUGAGAGUGGUUUCCCAGMGGRUGCUUGGCUUGUACAACCAGAGAACAGGAUUCUUCUCUUCUUUCUGGCCACUCAAUGCCUAUGUGCACUCCACGUUCCAAAGAGGGAAGAAGGGCGAAGCUUCUUGGAUGACAAUGGACGUUCUACUGUGCAGGAUGAGGGCAGAGUGUGUGACAUCGCCACCACAAGGGCUCCAACAGUCUGA